GUCUAAUCCUCCUUCCUCUUCAUCCUCUGAGAGCUGGGAUUAGAGACCUGAUUCGUGAGGAGCUGGAAGUAUAAUCCAGGGUUUUGUGCAUUCUUUGCAAGCAGUACUAACUGUAGUAUAAACCCAGCCACUUGCAUUUUAAAUUUAAAAAAAAACCCUUUAUUUAUUUUAUGUGCUCAGGUAUUUUGACUCGAUGUCUGUAUACCAUAUGCACUAUGCCAGUGGAAGCCAGAAGAGGGCAUUUGAUCCCCUAAUCCUGGUGUUGCGAGUCAGUAGUUAGCCACUUUGUGGAAGAGCUGCAAAUGCUCUUAACUACUGUUAAUAUCAACAUCUUUUUUCCUAAAUGCUGCAGUAUCACUCAGCCAAGUCAGCCAUGUGCAGUAGUGUGAUAAGGAUGGUCUGUGCCUCACGUUUUCUUCAUUGUCACCAUUGAUUGUGACCCAUUGGUCUCAGUUAAAUCCCAGAUUUCCAGGAAAGACUCCUGUAUUUGUCAGUGACAGAAACUUGAGAGGAAGAUGCAAGGCUGCUCUUUGUGAAAGAUGAGUUUCGGCCCAUUUGUCACAAGUUUCAGUCUGUGAUCUGUCUCUGUGCCCGUGGCUUUAGGCCUUAGGUGAUGCUGAGCAUCAGGAUGCAGAAGCAUGUGGUGAACGAGGUUGUGUUCCUCUUUGCAGCCAGAACAGAAAAACCCUUGUGAAGGGGCCAGGGACAAGGCAAACCUUCAAAGGCAGUCUUACUUCCUCCAACUGGGUCCUAGCUACCAUGUCUCUCAUUAAGGUUGCCUGGAAAACAUUCCACUGCUUUCCAAAUCCAAAGUCCCCAAAUCUACAUUCCUGCAAACAAAGCAUGGUCAGGCCUAUCACAGCACUACCCCACUCCCAGUACCAACUUCUGUCUUAGGGUUUUACUGCUGUGAACAGACACCAUGACCAAGGCAACCCUUAUAAGGAUAACAUUUAAUUGGGGCUAUCUUACAGGUUCAGAGAUUCAGUCCAUUGUCAUCAAGGUGGGAACAUGGUAGCAUCCAGGCAGGCAUGGUACAGGAGGAGCUGAGAGCUCUACAUCUUCUGAAGGCAGCUAGGACAAGGGUAUUAAAGUCCACACCAACAGUGACACACCUUCUCCAACAAGGUCACACCUCCUAAUAGUGCCAUUCCCUGGGUCAAGCAUAUACAAAGCAUCACAGCAACUGACCUGCCAGUCUAUUCUAAAAGAAAUCCCCAAGUUCAGUAAGAGAUACUGUCUCAAAAAAUAAGAGCCAUAGAGAAAGAUAGCAAACAUGACUUUCUGGAUUUCCUGAAUGUCUGCACAGGUGAGUACACACACAUACACAAGUAAAUAAAAGUACGUUUACUUAUUUUGCAUAUGUGUAAUUAGGUAUGCUCAUAUACAUUGAGGCCAGAGGACAGUUUAGAGAUCUGGGAGUGAAACUCAGAUUAGACUUGACGGUAACCACAAAACACUCCCUUGGAAAGCUGAGACUGGAGAAUUGUAAAUUUGAGAACAGCUUGGGCUAUGAAGUAAGACAGUGUCUCAAGUUCUAUCUCCUCGUGGGCUGAAAAGGAAAUAAUUAACUGCUGUUGCUAGCAGCAAAAGCAACAUUUGUUUGGCCUUUCAAGGCAGGUGCCAUAGUAGGCACUGUAUUGAAGUCACUCACAGAUAAUGUGAGUCCUGUGAUUUUACUGGAUAUCUUCCCCACUGUAAGGAACACUGCUACUUCCUGUAUUUGAGAGGCCCCAGCAUGGAUUAGCAAGGGACCAGAAGGACAGGAUUCUAGGCAUAAUUGUAGUGGGCACUAUCUGUCUUUAGAGUCUAAAUGUGAUUUUUAGGACAUUAACCCAGCAUUUGGGAUUCAUCAGCUAUAGAGAAAGCUGCAUAGGGGUUUUGUGUAGGUGAGUUCAGUUGGUGGAUAAUGAGCUGUCAUUGAAUGCCACCUUGUUAGGCUGGUGUUCUACUGGAUUUAUGAAACCGUAGCAUUAUUUGUGGGGAGAGUGCAUAUGCCACAAUGUCAUGUGGAUGUCAGAGGCCAGUGUUCAGGAGUCACUUCCCUCAUUUUACCACCUGGGACCUGGACAUAGAUAGGACUCAAGUCAUCAGGCUUAGCAGCAAGAACCUUUGCCUGCCCAGCCAUCUCAGUGGCCCGUAUUUAUGUGUGAUGUAGGGGAGGAGGGCGUGGGUAAGCCGGGUACUGGGGAUUGAACAUAGGGUGUGACACGCUUGUUAGGCAAGUGCUUAACUCUGAGCUACGUCCUUAGCCCUUUUUAACUUUUUGAGACAGGAGCCUACUAAUUUGCCCAGGCUGGCCUUGAAGUCAUUCUGUAGCCUAAGCUGGCUUUGAAUUUAUCUUUCUGCUUCAGCCUCCCUAGUAGCUGGGAUUACAGGUCUGGUGUUUUUAAAAGAUAACAUUGUUAUUUAGCUGCUUUGAAGUCUCUUUGCUUCUGUUUUGAAAGUGUUGAGAUUACAAAGCCUCCUUCAUUAUUACCUGGCUUUCAUGUUUUUUUUUCUUCUUUUUCUUUAAUUUUUUUUUUAAAGAGUGAGCCAGUCUUUAAACUAUUUAUUACAAGAUAGC
rnacentral:lncRNA from 1 species